rnacentral:rRNA from 1 species
GCGGGGUGCUUACCAUGCAGUCGAACGGUAAGGCCCUUCGGGGUACACGAGUGGCGAACGGGUGAGUAACACGUGGGUGAUCUGCCCUGCACUUCGGGAUAAGCCCGGGAAACUGGGUCUAAUACCGGAUAGGACUGCGCGGUGCAUGCCGUGUGGUGGAAAGAUUUAUCGGUGCAGGAUGGGCCCGCGGCCUAUCAGCUUGUUGGUGGGGUAAUGGCCUACCAAGGCGACGACGGGUAGCCGGCCUGAGAGGGCGACCGGCCACACUGGGACUGAGACACGGCCCAGACUCCUACGGGAGGCAGCAGUGGGGAAUAUUGCACAAUGGGCGCAAGCCUGAUGCAGCGACGCCGCGUGAGGGAUGACGGCCUUCGGGUUGUAAACCUCUUUCAGCAGGGACGAAGCGUGAGUGACGGUACCUGCAGAAGAAGCACCGGCCAACUACGUGCCAGCAGCCGCGGUAAUACGUAGGGUGCAAGCGUUGUCCGGAAUUACUGGGCGUAAAGAGCUCGUAGGCGGUUUGUCGCGUCGUCUGUGAAAACCAGCAGCUCAACUGUUGGCUUGCAGGCGAUACGGGCAGACUUGAGUAUUUCAGGGGAGACUGGAAUUCCUGGUGUAGCGGUGAAAUGCGCAGAUAUCAGGAGGAACACCGGUGGCGAAGGCGGGUCUCUGGGAAAUAACUGACGCUGAGGAGCGAAAGCGUGGGUAGCGAACAGGAUUAGAUACCCUGGUAGUCCACGCCGUAAACGGUGGGCGCUAGGUGUGGGUUUCCUUCCACGGGAUCCGUGCCGUAGCUAACGCAUUAAGCGCCCCGCC